CUGGCCCACGGUGGUGGCCUUAACAAAGCCCUCAGCGAUAGUAAAGUGCAUGGUGGGCACAACACCACUCAAGCCAAGUCCCAGGAACACUCCUGAACAGAGCAGACACGAGACAGUCAAGCAGGGAAACAGCUACUACGUGGAAAGCUCUGCUGCUUUAUGACAGAAUCCAAACACUUAUGGUGUUUCGGGAAGAGACUGGCAUUUGAAUUAAUAGACUUGGGAAGAUUUGCCUUCACUCAGUGUGUGUGGACUUCAUCUAAUCAGCUGUGGACACAGACACAACAAACAGGGACAAGAGAGAUGAAAUUUUCUCUCUCCAACCUCUAACACCAAGUUUGGACCCUGUCCUCCCCUCAGACAUAAAAGGACCUUAAGUUCUGUGGCUUAUGGACUCUGUAACUGGCAACAGAAGCCCCCAGAGUCUCAGGCCUUCUUCAGCCUUGGACUAUGAGCUACCCAAUGUGAUUCUGAGGCCUUCAGUCUUGUAUUAAGCCCUCCUGCUCGCUUCCCUGGUUGUGUAAUUUGCAGAUGCCUGUUAUCAAAGUUGUCUCCACACUCCUGUGAACCCAUUCCCCUAAUGGAUCCUCUCUCAUCUAUUGGCCACUGCCUGCCUGGCUUCUUGUCUUUCUCUUACUGUUCUUUCCAGAGGACCCCAAAGCUUUAAUUUGCCCUCAGGUGAGGGCAAACCUCAAAUUCCAAAAUAGUCAUGGUCAUGCUGCGUACAACCCACAAGCACAGCUGAAAGCAACAGGCAAAUCCAGUUCAAGAGUGACAAAAACAACUUGUAUGGCAGACCUUUAUAUGGUGUCAACACAAAGACAGUUCCUCUUCCUGACAAGAGAGAUGCCAGCACACACAGAGUCAACAGCUGCCAAGCUCAAGAACAGGAAACUGGAGGCCUCUGAAAACCUCAGGGCACCGGCAACCCACAUGAUCAUAAACAAUGGGAAAUCUUUCUUCACAGCUGACCUCAAAACAUAUUUCUUCAAAAUGAAGUACUACUGAAUAAACAGCUUUACUAAGAAAUCAUUUAUACCACUGAGCAAAAAAAUACAAAUAGUUUUCGGGCAACUUAAGAAGCCUGGGACUUCUUAAAGGGAUACUUUGGUUAUAAUAUUGCUACCCAUGAUACAGACUGGCCACCAUAGCAGAAAUGAAAAAAAAUGAACCACCUAAAAAUCUGGGAUCAACACUACAUAAGUGAUCAUAAAGUGAUGCAUAUUCAUUAUUUUGAUCAGAACUGAUAUUUUGAAAUGAAUGAAUGGGGGAGAGUCUAGCCAACAAGUAUAUGCAUUACUGUCUUGCUACUAGACAA